GAUGAACGCUGGCGGCGUGCCUAAUACAUGCAAGUCGAGCGAACAGACGAGGAGCUUGCUCCUCUGACGUUAGCGGCGGACGGGUGAGUAACACGUGGAUAACCUACCUAUAAGACUGGGAUAACUUCGGGAAACCGGAGCUAAUACCGUAUAAUAUAUUGAACCGCAUGGUUCAAUAGUGAAAGACGGUUUUGCUGUCACUUAUAGAUGGAUCCGCGCCGCAUUAGCUAGUUGGUAGGGUAACGGCUUACCAAGGCAACGAUGCGUAGCCGACCUGAGAGGGGGAUCGGCCACACUGGAACGGAGACGCCGUCCAGACUCCUACGGGAGGCACCAGUAGGGAACCGUACGCAAUGGGCGAAAGCCUGACGGAGCAACGCCGCGUGAGUGAUGAAGGUCUUCGGAUCGUAAAACUCUGCUAUUAGGGAAGAACAAAUGUGUAAGUAACUAUGCACGUCUUGACGGUACCUAAUCAGAAAGCCACGGCUAACUACGUG
rnacentral:rRNA from 1 species